CAUUUUGCUUCUGGGUCUCUCCUCUGUGCCCUGAGAUGAGGCCACCUGAAUGCAGAAGGAAGCUGGGUGAACACAUAUUUUCUUUAUCAAUCCAUGAGAUCAUGAGCUGCCGGGGAAAGUGUUGCCACCGAGGGCACUUCCUGAGUGUGGCCUCAGAGGUACAUGGUGCAGCUGCAGGGGAUUUUUUUCUGAAGCCGGAAGGGCGAACCAUGAAGCAUGAGGAAGGCUGUUGAAAAGUGACUUUGAUGAAUGUUAAGCAUUGUUCUCUCCAGGCUGCAGAUUGAAGCAGCCAGGUUGAUUUUACUGGAUUUUGUGUGCAAGUAGAAGCUACGAGUGACAGAUUGCCCUUUUCAAAGAUGGCGGCAACAUCCCCUUCAGAGAUGGUCCCAUCUCCAUGCAUGUGUGCAAUGCGAUCUCUCUGGGCCCCGUCAGGAGGUGGAGUCUGAUCCCCUUCCUCUUGAAUUGGGGAUAGCUUCUUGGACCAAUAGACUCUGAUGGCAGUGAUGCCCUUCCCUAAUUCUUGAUCACACCUUAGACAGCAAAACAAAAUUGUGUGUAAUUUGUUGCACCACCAGAAUAACUGGAAUAUUUAGCUACUGCUUACUGGGGAAGGCAGUCCAGUGGCUGCAGCAGUUGUCAUACUUAGGGUACCUGAGAAUCCACUGGUGCUCUCCUUAAUGAUGCAGAUUCCAAGGCCCCACCUCCAGAAGAUCUGUUUCCUACUAUAGGGCUGGGGAAUCUGCAUCUUAAAAUGAAAACUUCAGGAAAUUCUGACCAUAGUUGCUAUUGAAUUCCGAACGUUUGGUGAGUCAUUUAAGAGAAGUCAGAAAGACCUAGAUUUGAAUUUUCAUCCAGCGACUACCCAUUCUCUGCCUUUGAUUCCUUAUCUGUGAAGUGCAGGCAACCACAGUUCCUACUUCAUGGUGGCACUGAGGGGGUUAAGUGAGAUAAUGCCUGUAGUGCUUGGCAAAAUCCUGACAAAGAGUAUGGAAGAGGGCUAAGGUUGUGGCUCAGUGGUAGAAUGCUCGCCUAGCAUGUGCGAGGCCCUGGGUUCGAUCCUCAGCACCACAUAAAAAUAAAUAAAGAUAUUGAGUCCAACUACAACUAAAAAAUAAAUAUUAAAAAAAAAAGAGUAUGGAAGAAUCGGUGACUUCCAUCCUAGCUAGCAUCAUGGAGCUAUGUGUUGUGUUUCCCUAUCUUUAACCAGGAACAGGGUCCAUAGUUUUAAUCAGAUUCUCCAAGGGUCCUUUACCUUGAGAUGUUCGAGCAUGCUCAUGAGAACAUGUUUGCUGUUCCAUCCAAUUCCAGGCCCAGGGUCCCUUUUCUUCUUAGCAGGAGCCUCCUGACCACACCCAAAUGGGUCACCCUCAUUCCAUAGCAUGGACGGAAGACCCGAAGGCCUCCCAGGUUCACUCUCGGGGACUCAAUGAAAGCGUGAGAUGGUUAGCAUAGUGUGGACGGUGAUCUGGAGGAGGAAGAGCUGGAGUUCACAAGGGCCAUGACCCGAUGUCAAGAAAGAA
rnacentral:lncRNA from 1 species